rnacentral:rRNA from 1 species
CCUACGGGUGGCAGCAGUGGGGAAUAUUGCACAAUGGGCGCAAGCCUGAUGCAGCGACGCCGCGUGAGGGAUGACGGCCUUCGGGUUGUAAACCUCUUUCAACGCCGACGAAGCGUAAGUGACGGUAGGCGUAGAAGAAGCACCGGCCAACUACGUGCCAGCAGCCGCGGUAAUACGUAGGGUGCGAGCGUUGUCCGGAAUUACUGGGCGUAAAGAGCUCGUAGGUGGUUUGUCGCGUUGUCCGUGAAAACUCACAACUCAAUUGUGGGCGUGCGGGCGAUACGGGCAGACUGGAGUACUGCAGGGGAGACUGGAAUUCCUGGUGUAGCGGUGGAAUGCGCAGAUAUCAGGAGGAACACCGGUGGCGAAGGCGGGUCUCUGGGCAGUAACUGACGCUGAGGAGCGAAAGCGUGGGGAGCGAACAGGAUUAGAUACCCUUG